rnacentral:tRNA from 1 species
GGCCUCGUAGCUCAGUUGGCCAGAGCGUUGGCUGUACUAAAGCCUUCCCCUUGCUUGUGUGGGUUCAAAUCCAACCGAGGCCG